CUUCUAUGAUGAACCUAUCCCGAACCUGAAUGCUGAUGACACACUUAAGCGGAUUCGGCUACUGAGAA
ensembl:snoRNA